rnacentral:rRNA from 1 species
GGCCUUGACAUACUAAGAACUUUCCAGAGAUGGAUUGGUGCCUUCGGGAACUUAGAUACAGGUGCUGCAUGGCUGUCGUCAGCUCGUGUCGUGAGAUGUUGGGUUAAGUCCGCAACGAGCGCAACCCUUUUCCUAUUUGCCAGCGGGUAAUGCCGGGAACUUUAAGGAUACUGCCAGUGACAAACUGGAGGAAGGCGGGGACGACGUCAAGUCAUCAUGGCCCUUACGGCCAGGGCUACACACGUGCUACAAUGGUCGGUACAAAGGGUUGCUACCUCGCGAGAGGAUGCUAAUCUCAAAAAAGCCGAUCGUAGUCCGGAUCGCAGUCUGCAACUCGACUGCGUGAAGUCGGAAUCGCUAGUAAUCGCGGAUCAGAAUGCCGCGGUGAAUACGUUCCCGGGCCUUGUACACACCGCCCGUCACACCAUGGGAGUUUGUUGCACCAGAAGUAGGUAGUCUAACCGCAAGGAGGACGCUUACCACGGUGUGGCCGAUGACUGGGGUGAAGUCGUAACAAGGUAAGCGUAGAUGA